GAGUUUGAUCAUGGCUCAGAUUGAACGCUGGCGGCAUGCCUUACACAUGCAAGUCGAACGGCAGCAUGAUCUAGCUUGCUAGAUUGAUGGCGAGUGGCGAACGGGUGAGUAAUACAUCGGAACGUGCCCUGUAGUGGGGGAUAACUAGUCGAAAGAUUAGCUAAUACCGCAUACGACCUGAGGGUGAAAGUGGGGGACCGCAAGGCCUCAUGCUAUAGGAGCGGCCGAUGUCUGAUUAGCUAGUUGGUGGGGUAAAGGCCCACCAAGGCGACGAUCAGUAGCUGGUCUGAGAGGACGAUCAGCCACACUGGGACUGAGACACGGCCCAGACUCCUACGGGAGGCAGUAGUGGGGAAUUUUGGACAAUGGGGGCAACCCUGAUCCAGCAAUGCCGCGUGUGUGAAGAAGGCCUUCGGGUUGUAAAGCACUUUUGUCCGGAAAGAAAUCGCACUUACUAAUAUUAGGUGUGGAUGACGGUACCGGAAGAAUAAGGACCGGCUAACUACGUGCCAGCAGCCGCGGUAAUACGUAGGGUCCAAGCGUUAAUCGGAAUUACUGGGCGUAAAGCGUGCGCAGGCGGUUGUGCAAGACCGAUGUGAAAUCCCCGGGCUUAACCUGGGAAUUGCAUUGGUGACUGCACGGCUAGAGUGUGUCAGAGGGGGGUAGAAUUCCACGUGUAGCAGUGAAAUGCGUAGAGAUGUGGAGGAAUACCGAUGGCGAAGGCAGCCCCCUGGGAUAACACUGACGCUCAUGCACGAAAGCGUGGGGAGCAAACAGGAUUAGAUACCCUGGUAGUCCACGCCCUAAACGAUGUCAACUAGUUGUUGGGGAUUCAUUUCCUUAGUAACGUAGCUAACGCGUGAAGUUGACCGCCUGGGGAGUACGGUCGCAAGAUUAAAACUCAAAGGAAUUGACGGGGACCCGCACAAGCGGUGGAUGAUGUGGAUUAAUUCGAUGCAACGCGAAAAACCUUACCUACCCUUGACAUGCCACUAACGAAGCAGAGAUGCAUUAGGUGCUCGAAAGAGAAAGUGGACACAGGUGCUGCAUGGCUGUCGUCAGCUCGUGUCGUGAGAUGUUGGGUUAAGUCCCGCAACGAGCGCAACCCUUGUCUCUAGUUGCUACGAAAGGGCACUCUAGAGAGACUGCCGGUGACAAACCGGAGGAAGGUGGGGAUGACGUCAAGUCCUCAUGGCCCUUAUGGGUAGGGCUUCACACGUCAUACAAUGGCGCAUACAGAGGGUUGCCAAGCCGCGAGGUGGAGCUAAUCCCAGAAAAUGCAUCGUAGUCCGGAUCGUAGUCUGCAACUCGACUACGUGAAGCUGGAAUCGCUAGUAAUCGCGGAUCAGCAUGCCGCGGUGAAUACGU
rnacentral:rRNA from 1 species